GACGAACGCUGGCGGCGCGCUUAACACAUGCAAGUCGAACGAGAAGCUGUAGCAAUACAGUUGUACAGUGGCGAACGGGUGAGGAAUACAUGGGUAACCUACCCUCGAGUGGGGAAUAACCAGCCGAAAGGCUGGCUAAUACCGCGUACGCUUCCCAGUCUGCGGGUUGGGAAGGAAAGCUCUACCGUGGGUAGAGCGCUCAAGGACGGGCUCAUGUCCUAUCAGCUUGUUGGAGGGUAACGGCCUACCAAGGCAACGACGGGUAGCUGGUCUGAGAGGACGAUCAGCCACACUGGCACUGCGACACGGGCCAGACUCCGUACGGGAGGCAGCAGUGAGGAAUAUUGCGCAAUGGGCGACAGCCUGACGCAG
rnacentral:rRNA from 1 species